rnacentral:rRNA from 1 species
GAUGAACGCUAGCGGCAGGCUUAAUACAUGCAAGUUGAGGGGCAGCAUGAUAUACGCGAGUAUAUUGAUGGCGACCGGCGGACGGGUGAGUAAUAGGUAGGAGACCUACCUCAUACAGGGGGAUAGCAUAGAGAAAUCUGUGGUAAUACCCCAUGAGGUUAUAUGAAUAGAGGCAUAUAAUCAAAGCAUAAGCGAUUAUGCGGUAUGAGAGGGGCCUACUGACCAUUAGCUAGUUGGUGAGGUAAGGGCUCACCAAGGCGAAGAUGGUUAGGGGUUUUGAGAGAGAGACCCCCCACAUUGGAACUGAGAGACGGUCCAGACUCCUACGGGAGGCAGCAGUAGGGAAUAUUGGGCAAUGGGCGAAAGCCUGACCCAGCCAUGCCGCGUGAAGGAGACGGCCUUAUGGGUUGUAAACUUCUUUACUACGCGAAUAGAGGUUAGUACGAGAUACUAAUAGGAAGGUAGUGUAGUAAAAGCACCGGCUAACUCCGUGCC